rnacentral:rRNA from 1 species
GUAGGUGGCAAGCGUUGUCCGGAAUUAUUGGGCGUAAAGCGCGCGCAGGUGGUUCUUUAAGUCUGGUGUGAAAGCCCCCGGCUCAACCGGGGAGGGUCAUUGGAAACUGGGGAACUUGAGUGCAGGAGAGGAAAGUGGAAUUCCACGUGUAGCGGUGAAAUGCGUAGAUAUGUGGAGGAACACCAGUGGCGAAGGCGACUUUCUGGCCUGUAACUGACACUGAGGCGCGAAAGCGUGGGGAGCAAACAGGGAUUAGAUACCCUGGUAGUCCGCGCCGUAAACGAUGAGUGCUAAGUGUUGGGGGGGUUUCCCGCCCCUCAGUGCUGCAGCUAACGCAUUAAGCACUCCGCCUGGGGAUACGGUCGCAAGACUG